rnacentral:rRNA from 1 species
UGGGGAAUAUUGCGCAAUGGGGGAAACCCUGACGCAGCGACGCCGCGUGCGGGAUGAAGGCCUUCGGGUUGUAAACCGCUUUUGAUUGGGAGCAAGCUUUCGGGUGAGUGUACCUUUCGAAUAAGCGCCGGCUAACUACGUGCCAGCAGCCGCGGUAAUACGUAGGGCGCAAGCGUUAUCCGGAAUUAUUGGGCGUAAAGAGCUUGUAGGCGGUUCGUCGCGUCUGGUGUGAAAGCCCAUCGCUUAACGGUGGGGUUGCGCCGGGUACGGGCGGGCUAGAGUGCAGUAGGGGAGACUGGAAUUCCCGGUGUAACGGUGGAAUGUGUAGAUAUCGGGAAGAACACCGAUGGCGAAGGCAGGUCUCUGGGCUGUUACUGACGCUGAGAAGCGAAAGCGUGGGGAGCGAACAGG